GCACCCACGCUGUGCAGCCGGGAAGCGGCGGCGGCCAGCGGCAGCCUCACUGCCUCCUUUUGCUUUCAAUGCACGGAGUCCUUCCGCGGCUCCCGUUAGCAUCCUCGUUCUCCUUUGACUCUAGUGACGGAGGCCUCUAUCACAACAGACUCAAAACCCCUAAGAGGCAGGGGAUAAAGAUGGAGAAGAAGGGAUGUAAAAUUUAGCUCCUGUGGAACUCCAUCGUACCCCAUGCUGGACGCCAAGCUCCACCCCAAAUCUGAAGACACCUCUAGGCGUCGGCAGUGGUUCCUGCCCUCACGGAGCUCCGAGCGGUAGAGGGGAAAAUGGAGACAGAAAGUGAAACUUCUCCUGACUCCUCCCCCGUCGCAUUGCUCUCAAGCUGAUGUCUGCAGGAGCGAGAUCGCCCCCGCACCGUGCCCUGCUCCCAGCUGUGGUUCUGACUCCUCCAAUGUGGAGAGAGGCGGGAGAGGGGGAGGAGGAGAGACAGGGAGCCAGGAGCUUCUUACUGGAUUACCCAUAGCGGAGCACGUGAGUCCAUGAGGGCAGGACGUGGUCCUCUUUCCUGAUGCGUCUCCUGUGCCUGGCUGGUAGGAGGCCCUCGGCGACAGUCAUCCAAUAAAUGGGCGAACAAAGUGAUGUGGGAAGAGACAGGGGACAUCUGACUCACUUUAUACCCAAGGUUUCUUCAUGCUCUGGCAAGUCAUCUCCUUUGACAACAAACAUUCAAUAUUUUAAAAAUUAUUUUAUUGAAGUCAUAUUGAUUUAUAACUGUAAACUUCAGGUGUACAUUAUUAU